rfam:Echinostoma caproni strain Egypt genome assembly, scaffold: ECPE_scaffold0004346
GGCCUCGUAGCUCAGCUGAUAGAGCGUGCGCUGUGCAAAAGCGUAGGCUGCGUCCAUGCGUGGGUUCGAGUCCCAUCGAGACUG